rnacentral:rRNA from 1 species
CCUACGGGAGGCAGCAGUGGGGAAUAUUGGACAAUGGGCGAAAGCCUGAUCCAGCCAUGCCGCGUGUGUGAAGAAGGCCUUCGGGUUGUAAAGCACUUUCAGUGGGGAAGAAAGCCUUGGGGCUAAUACCCUCGAGGAAGGACAUCACCCACAGAAGAAGCACCGGCUAACUCCGUGCCAGCAGCCGCGGUAAUACGGAGGGUGCGAGCGUUAAUCGGAAUUACUGGGCGUAAAGCGCGCGUAGGCGGUCUGAUAAGCCGGUUGUGAAAGCCCCGGGCUCAACCUGGGAACGGCAUCCGGAACUGUCAGGCUAGAGUGCAGGAGAGGAAGGUAGAAUUCCCGGUGUAGCGGUGAAAGGCGUAGAGAUCGGGAGGAAUACCAGUGGCGAAGGCGGCCUUCUGGACUGACACUGACGCUGAGGUGCGAAAGCGUGGGUAGCAAACAGGAUUAGAUACCCCGGUAGUC